rnacentral:rRNA from 1 species
UACUCCUACGGGAGGCAGCAGUAGGGAAUCUUCCGCAAUGGACGAAAGUCUGACGGAGCAACGCCGCGUGAGUGAUGAAGGCUUUCGGGUCGUAAAACUCUGUUGUUAGGGAAGAACAAGUGCUAGUUGAAUAAGCUGGCACCUUGACGGUACCUAACCAGAAAGCCACGGCUAACUACGUGCCAGCAGCCGCGGUAAUACGUAGGUGGCAAGCGUUAUCCGGAAUUAUUGGGCGUAAAGCGCGCGCAGGUGGUUUCUUAAGUCUGAUGUGAAAGCCCACGGCUCAACCGUGGAGGGUCAUUGGAAACUGGGAGACUUGAGUGCAGAAGAGGAAAGUGGAAUUCCAUGUGUAGCGGUGAAAUGCGUAGAGAUAUGGAGGAACACCAGUGGCGAAGGCGACUUUCUGGUCUGUAACUGACACUGAGCGCG